rnacentral:rRNA from 1 species
UCAGAGAGUUUGAUUAUGGCUCAGGAUGAACGCUAGCUACAGGCUUAACACAUGCAAGUCGAGGGGUAGCAGGGUAGCAAUACCGCUGACGACCGGCGCACGGGUGAGUAACACGUAUCCAACCUUCCCAUAACUCAGGGAUAGCCUUUCGAAAGAAAGAUUAAUACCUGAUAGUACUUUUUCAAGGCAUCUUGAAAAAGUUAAAGAUUUAUUGGUUAUGGAUGGGGAUGCGUUCCAUUAGAUAGUUGGUGAGGUAACGGCUCACCAAGUCUUCGAUGGAUAGGGGUUCUGAGAGGAAGGUCCCCCACAUUGGUACUGAGACACGGACCAAACUCCUACGGGAGGCAGCAGUGAGGAAUAUUGGUCAAUGGGCGAGAGCCUGAACCAGCCAAGUAGCGUGAAAAGGAUGAAGGUCCUAUGGAUUGUAAACUUCUUUUAUAGUAGAAUAAAGUGAGCCACGUGUGGUUUUUUGUAUGUAUACUAUGAAUAAGGAUCGGCUAACUCCGUGCCAGCCGCCGC